GACAGGAGUUCACAAUGAUUCACGACAAUACCGGUACUUCAGCAUCCCCAAACAAGACGACAACAAUGUGUCCUUCACUUCGGUACCAAAGAUUCUUCGAGCAUAAUGGAACUUCUGCGGUUCAUGCAAGGUCCGCCGAUCUCUUACCAUUGCUGCCGCGGGAAAGGGAGAGCGCGAGAACUGGCAACGGCCACUGAAAAAUUAAAGAGCACCGCUAUUUGCAGUUUCUAUUUCUUGGUUAGGCUGCUUGGGUCCUGGAUGGAAGGCCCAGAGGUGUAAAGGCGAAAAAUUCGAUGGAAAACACAAAGAACGAGGAUGAGCUUCAGAAUUUAUGCAGCUUCUUAUGUUAAUUACACCGAGUAUAAUAUAAGAAAUGUGUUAUCAUAUUGGCAGCUAUUUUUACCAUCGUUAUAAAACAAAUAUUGGCAUGA